rnacentral:rRNA from 1 species
AGACAGCUAGGAUGUUGGCUUAGAAGCAGCCACCAUUUAAACAAAGCGUAAUAGCUGACUAGUCGAGUGGUUUUGCGCCGAAAAUGAUCGGGGCUCAAACUAUCUGCCGAAGCUGCGGGUUUUAACUACUGUUAAAGCAGUAGGGGAGCGUUGUGUACCGGGUUGAAGGGAAGGUGGAAGCCGACCUGGACUGUACACAAGUGAUUAUGCAGACAUGAGUAACGAUAAGGGUGGUGAGAAUCCACCCCGCCGAAAGCCCAAGGGUUCCUGGGGAAGGUUCGUCCGCCCAGGGUUAGUCGGCCCCUAAGGCGAGGCUGAAAAGCGUAGUCGAUGGGAAACGGGCUAAAUAUUCCCGUACCACCGUACAUGAGUGAUGGAGGGACGCAGUAGGCUAGGUCAGCCGUCGAUUGGAAAUGACGGUCUAAGCGUGUAGGGUAAGAUGUAGGUAAAUCCGCAUCUGUUUGCCUGAGACGCGAUGGGACAUGGAGUCUUCGGACUAAGUGGAUUGGCUGAUGCCAGGCUGCCAAGAAAAGCUUCUAAACGUUGAAUGUAAGGUGACCGUACCAAAACCGACACAGGUAGGAGGGUAGAGUAUACCAAGGCGCGCGAGAGAAAGGUUGUUAAGGAACUCGGCAAAUUAACCCCGUAUCUUCGGAAGAAGGGGUCCUCGAAAAGGCUAGUGAUUUACUUGCGAUGUUUUUUCGAGGCGCAGUGAAGAGGCGAAGGCGACUGUUUAUCAAAAACAUAGCACUAUGCGAACUCGCAAGAGGAUGUAUAUGGUGUGACACGUGACCAAUGCCAAAAGGUUAAGGCAAGGGGUUAGCUCUUGAAGCGAAGCUCUGAACCGAAGCCCUGGUGAAUGUCGGCCGUAACUAUAACGGUCCUAAGGUAGCGAAAUUCCUUGUCGGGUAAGUUCCGACCUGCACGAAUCGUGUAACGAUCUUCGCACUGUCUCAACAACAAUCUCGGUGAAGUUGUAGUUCCGGUGAAAAUGCCGGAUACCCGCGGCAGGACGGAAAGACCCCGUGAACCUUUACUGUGACCUGACAUUGGGUUUUGAUAUUUUGUAUGUAGGAUAGCUGGGAGGCUUUGAAGCAUCGUCGUCAGGCGUUGUGGAGCCAUUGGUGAAAUACCAGUUUCGAUCUAUUGAAAUUCUAACUACGAUCCCCUGAAUCGGGGCGUGGAACAGUGUCUGGGAGUCAGUUUGACUGGGGCGGUUUCCUCCCAAAGAGUAACGGAGGAGCACAAUGGUACCCUCAGCAUGGUCAGCAAUCAUGCGUAGAGCGUAUAGGUAUAAGGGUGCUUGACUGCGAGACAUACAGGUCGAGCAGGUGCGAAAGCAGGUCUAAGUGAUCCG